rnacentral:rRNA from 1 species
UUGCUUCUCUUGAGAGCGGCGGACGGGUGAGUAAUGCCUAGGAAUCUGCCUGGUAGUGGGGGAUAACGUCCGGAAACGGACGCUAAUACCGCAUACGUCCUACGGGAGAAAGCAGGGGACCUUCGGGCCUUGCGCUAUCAGAUGAGCCUAGGUCGGAUUAGCUAGUUGGUGGGGUAAUGGCUCACCAAGGCGACGAUCCGUAACUGGUCUGAGAGGAUGAUCAGUCACACUGGAACUGAGACACGGUCCAGACUCCUACGGGAGGCAGCAGUGGGGAAUAUUGGACAAUGGGCGAAAGCCUGAUCCAGCCAUGCCGCGUGUGUGAAGAAGGUCUUCGGAUUGUAAAGCACUUUAAGUUGGGAGGAAGGGCAGUAAAUUAAUACUUUGCUGUUUUGACGUUACCGACAGAAUAAGCACCGGCUAACUCUGUGCCAGCAGCCGCGGUAAUACAGAGGGUGCAAGCGUUAAUCGGAAUUACUGGGCGUAAAGCGCGCGUAGGUGGUUCGUUAAGUUGGAUGUGAAAUCCCCGGGCUCAACCUGGGAACUGCAUUCAAAACUGACGAGCUAGAGUAUGGUAGAGGGUGGUGGAAUUUCCUGUGUAGCGGUGAAAUGCGUAGAUAUAGGAAGGAACACCAGUGGCGAA